rnacentral:rRNA from 1 species
UACGGAGGGUGCAAGCGUUGUCCGGAAUUAUUGGGCGUAAAGAGCUCGUAGGCGGUCUGUCGCGUCUGCUGUGAAAUCCCGAGGCUCAACCUCGGGCUUGCAGUGGGUACGGGCAGGCUAGAGUGCGGUAGGGGAGAAUGGAACUCCUGGUGUAGCGGUGGAAUGCGCAGAUAUCAGGAAGAACACCGAUGGCGAAGGCAGUUCUCUGGGCCGUAACUGACGCUGAGGAGCGAAAGCGUGGGGAGCGAACAGG